AUGAAUAUCUAUGGCGUUGGUAGUUGCUGGCUUCUAGGAGCAUGUGCACACCCGUCAUUUUUAUCUUUCCACCUGUGCACUCAAUGUAGGCUUGGAUAACUCUCGCUCUCUCGAGCGGAUGCAAGGAUUGGUGUGUCGCAAGACCAGCUUUCUUUGAAUUUCCAAGUCUAUGUAUUUUACAAACCCCAAUUGAAUGAUGAAGAAUGUAGUCAAUGGGCUUUUAGCCUAUAAAACAAUAUA
rnacentral:misc_RNA from 1 species